UUUAUCCUAUUUUCUUGGCUGCAUCAGACCAGAAAGUCCAGCCCUCUUUCUCUACUCCUUUUUCUUUGUUCUUGUUUUUCUUCUCUCUUUGCUCUUACACAGCAACCCUCCCUUUCUCACCAAAACAAUUUAUCCCUCUCUAAAGAAGAAAUUAAAAGGUUAACACUAAAAUUUCAGUUUCAAAGUUUGUGGGUGGCAAGAAUAAGAACACGAACACUUGAGCUCUUCUUGUACAAUCUCUCGUGCCUUCUGUUUUCAGGUGAGGGACUUGUGACAUGUGUUUUUGAUAAAGAUAAAGGUUAUUUCGAAAAGUAUUAUGCAUUAAAGUUUUUUAUUAGAAAUAUUAUAUAUAAGCAUGAUUUAAGUAAAAUAUAUGUUCGUGGGUUGUUCAAUCUUAUAUAUAUGAUAAUUUUAGCAUAUUAAUGCUAUUAUUUAUAUUACGAACAUAAUAUUUAAGAAUGAAGUAGAUAUGCUAUUAUGGUGAAACAUUUAUGUAAAAGCAAAAUUAUCAGAAAAAUACAAUUUUCGGUUAUUCCAUUGUUAUGAUCUAAACUCAGCCAGUAGGGGUUAUAGUACUGGUAUUUCCAUGGAGAUUCUGAUUGGCCAUUAAAAGUGGGAUUGGUUUUGCUGUACCCGCCCUUGUUGGUAACAGCCAACUUGUGGAGGAUGUCAACCUACCCCUAUGGUUGAAAAUAUGUAUUAUGAUAUGAUUCCAAAAUUACCUAGCAUUGUGGGGAAUGCUGGAUGCCUAGCACUCUAUGCUGGAAGCCUUCCAAAGUUGUGACAGACUUAUAAUUGGAUUAACUAAUAUAUAUUAUAAAUGAGCUAUUAAGCUAUUUGGAAAUUAUAAGAAAAGCAUGAUAAUAAGAAAGGUAUAUUGAAUAUGUUAUAAAUCUGAUAAGAAAUUAUGAUAAAGUAUUAGAUAGUCUAUUCAAAGAUAAGAUUAUUGAAUUAUAUUUAAGUUCCUUAUUAUGUCAUUUUAUUUAUUAUAUGAAAUGAAAAUGAAGUAUUCUCAUCUAAAAGCUCUUAAGUGAUUUUAAGAAUAAUAUGAAUAGUAUGAGGGCUAUUUUAUCAAAUCUAGCAUAUUCAUAAAAUAUUUGAUUUACAUGCAUUCUUAUUAAAGGCCCAUGGAGUUUUAAAACCUUACUGGGUUUCGAAACUCACCCUAUUAUAUUUCAGUGCACAAGUUCUUCCUGGAAGGAGCGAGAAUAUUAGAGGUGGCAAGGAUUCUGUAUUUUCUCGUUUGUUAGAAUGUAGAGUUUUGUUGUAUAGCAGUUAGCUCUUUUGUUGUAUAAGAGGAAUCAAGAUGUACUUGAUCCUUUGAGCACAGAUGUAAUUCAGUACCUUAGUUUGUUUUGAACUCCAAUUGUAUGUCUUUGGGGUUAGAUUUGUAAUAAGAGUUUUGCUAAACGUUUAGCUAUAUAAUAUUUACACGUAUACCUUAAGUUUCA